GCACACACACACACACACACACACACGAGUGCCUGCCUCUACGCGUGCGUGCGUGUUUUGUUUGUGCCGCGUCGUGCGUGUGUGUGUGUGUGUGUUCUGAGGACAAUGGAUGGGCUCCUGAUGAAAUAUUCAAGAAAGAGCAGCACGUUGCCUGUAAGGUGUUAGAGGUCACAUCAGCCGGGGGAAAGAGGAGGAGGAAGAGGAAGAAACAGCAACGAGCCGUGGAGGUGACGACAUUCUCAUUGAUGUACACCACAGGAUGACUGAAAGACCUGGAGCUUCUGAUAUUGCAUGGAUUGACGGCACUUGGGUGGUCCCCUCCAAUCAGUCUGAAAAGCAGGUCGUAGCAUGGCCACAUGUCAGCCAAGGGUCGCAAAGGAGUUCAGGUCAGAGAAACCCUCUCCGCUGCUUCAUCAAAUCCAACCUGACAUCAGUUGGCUGUUUUCUAACCACAGAGUGACCUACUGCAUUUACUGUAGGUGGGGUCAGAUCACUUGUUAUUCUCAGUCUACGCAGAUUUAUGGACUUUGGAACGACAAGGCGUCGCAGUCCAUCAUCUAUAGAAGCAGAUGCAACGUAGACCUUCAAUCAACUCAUCUCAGAUGGUCUCAGACGGCUAUGCGAGACGCUCGGCGAGGAGGGGAGAAGUGAUGCAUAGCCUCUCCUUCUUUGCUGCUCUCAGCACGCUGUGACACCGGAGGCAUGAUGGCAUUAUUAUGCCCAUAAAGGUGUGAACACUGGGAAAAAUCUACACAUUUAGGAAUAGCACGAGGGCUGCUCUGUGGCUAGGUUAUCUGUAGCAUUGUAAGCAUCUGCUCAACUUUUUGCGGUUUAUCUUUGCAUCUGUGUUUGUGUUCUGUCUGCGUGUACAUUUUUUCUUUUUCUUCUUCACUUGAGCCGGUAUGCACAUUUCUUUGUUCGGGAGCUUAUAUAUGCGCACUAAGUUUCCAGCCCACUGCGUGUAAUCAAGUGUGUUUUGUGUGACCGUCUUGUGUGUCGUUGCUGAACUGCUUUUGAGCUUAUCGUGGGAUUAUGUUUCUGUGUCAGACCUACUUUUACCUUUUAUCAGUAUUUUUAGCCCCUUCUUUUUUAUAUUCAGGUUUUUCCAUUCGGCCAUCAUCUUAAUGAACACAUACAUGUAUUUUUUUUUUUGAUUAUUAUUAUUAUUCCUCCCUUCAUAUUUAAGUCCACAGGCUUUUCCGGUAAUCCUAUCAGUUCGGCCUUACCCCCUAACCCCGCGACUCUCCUCCGGGCUCCAGCAGUAAUAAAAGAAAAGCAUAAUCCAGUGUUUAGAAAUAUGAGAUUUGCUUGUUGGAAUCCAGCGAGCCAUGUUGGAUUAAGGGUGGCCCAGGCUGGCCUAGAGGAGGUGGCUCUGUGCCCCCUGGUGAUCCUGGCCUCUGGGAUGGAGACAGGGAGGAGAUGUGUGAAAAGUACAAAGUUGGUGACAUCAAAAUGAAAAUGGUUUCUUCAGAUGCAGGAAAAAAUCAGACAAAACAGACAUUUUCUGCGUGUUGUUGAUUUUUUUUCUGUGUAAGCGUGUGUGUGUGUGUGUGUGUGUGUGUGUGUGUGUGCGCAUCGAGGAAGAACAUGGGUGUGUGUUCGUGUUAUUUAUGGCUGCCAGGAUCUGAGAUGAUAGAACAGGAAAUUGGGCCGCUUUUUCAUUUUUUUCCCUCCCUUUCUGUUUUUCAUACUGCACCCCGCUCAUUUCUUUAAUACCCUCUAAAAUGUAAAUCCGUAUGCACACAUGCAUCCCGGACAAUGCGCUCGAUGUGAAUUUUAUGUAAAAUGUACCCAUAACUCUAGCGGGACGGUGUAACGUAUGACUCGCUGUAAUUUCAUUACGUAAAAGGGUUUUGUGUUUGUUGGAGAGCGGGAGGUAUAUGCAUGCGUGUGUGUGUGUGUGUGAGUGUGUUUAUGGUGCGUUUGUGUUUGUGGGUUAAGAAGACAGAAGAAGUGAUUAUUAGUAAAGCCUUAUGUUUGUGUCGUGCCUGCGCACAACUGUGCAGGGUCGAGGGGUGAAUGUGUGUCAACAUUGAUAACGCAGAGAUGCAAAGUGGGCAGGGGGGCAUUAAAUAAAGAGGGGAGCCUUUCAUUGACAUUAGAAUAAUCCAAGCAGUUUUUUGUUUGCACUCAUGUAGGUAGGCAAUCUACAUAUGGGGCUGAAUUGGAAAGGUCCGAUCCCAAUAAUUUCUAAUAUUCUAAGUAAUGUAAAGUAGAGGCUGAUCUCAACUUCGGUGACCCUUACGAGAAAAACAUAAAUGAAGAUUAGAAAUAUGCUUUUAUUUUGUUAAGUGCGUUUUAUUAUGCCGUUUAAAGAAAGCACUUCCAGGAGACCUACGUACACAUUCGCGUAAAUUGUAAAAUGCGUCAUUUUGUGUUUUUAAAACAUGUUUUUUCUUUUAUAUAAAAGUUUCAUCGAUCAUACAGCGUGACCUACUGUUUCUUUAUAGCAAAAUAAAAAAUGAAAUCAAAUCCCAACUAUAACUGCACUCAGUUAUAGUUGAAAAAAAAGGUAAACUGAUGAACGAUGGAUGCUCAAGGCCGAACAUUGAACAGCUAGACUAUUCAGACAAUGUUCUCAUAUCUGUACUGUUAAGACUCUAAUUUUCCCCUUCAACUGCUAAAUAUGAAAUUUACCUUGAUCACUUCCUCUGCUAACCUGGUGAACAACACCUUCCAAUAAAUACAUAUUCUCACGAACGAUACCUGAUAAUGUGAUAUACCGUGAAUACACAUUCAGUCGUCCGGUGUGUUUUUAUCGCUCUGCAUGUCCUUGUGGCUGCAUGUUAAUACCUCCACACUGCUGCUCUGCUUACACCAUAAUUCUCACAUAUAUGUCCUUGUGUGGAUUUCAUUCAAUUAGUGUAAUUAGGGGGCCGAGCUGGGCCGAGUAUUCCGUCUUUUCAUGCAUUAUUUUUUAGCCAUUAACCUUCCGCCCCCGUACCUUUAUGCUUCCAUCUGUGUGUGUGUGAAGCAGCUCAGGAGGUGGUACACUGAGCUGUCUCGGUCUUUCUCUUUUUUUCUCUUUUUUUGAUGUUUGCAUGUUUAAAGACGAAGUUGUGUCUGUGUGUCCACUGUACAUUUUCUUCAUAUCUUCUUGUGGCUGUAACAUCCUUCCCUUCAGUCUCUUUCACAUCCUCUCUCUGUCUGCUUAAACAGGCAUUGUACACACACUGCACACGCAUGUAAACACCGGCGCUCAUACACAGAUGAACACCUUUUGUUUUAUAAAGGAACUGCCAAUCUUUAAUGUGGAAAUCAUGCUCUGCUGAUAUUGAUCCAGGUUGCUCAGUGGGGGCGGUGUCGCCACUUACUAGCGAUAGCAGCGAGGCGAGCUGUGAGUGCGUUCCUUCAUAUUUGUGUGGUGUGUGUGUUUUUAUGUGUCUCGCUUCCUGUGUGUGUGUGUGUGUGUGUGUGUGUAAGCUGUACCAGACACUCCAGUCUAUUGGAUUGAGAUUCAUUCGCUAUUUAAGGGUCAGGGUUCGGGCCACGUGUGCGCUGCUUGCCUCGCUGAUCAAUACCGCUGCCACACACCCUGCCUGACCCCGGCAUUUUGUCACCGUAAAUCCCCCCGGCUCCCUUUUUCUCCUCUCUGUUGGCCCCCCUUCUCCUCCUCCUCAACCUCCCUUUUCUUUUUUUCACCUUUUUUUCACCUUUUUUUUUUUUUUUUUUUGCGUCUUAAGUCACUGAAAGAAGUGAUGGAUUCAAGGGGGAGCACUUUGUAAGAUCUAAAUACAUUUAAUGUAGUCGGGGAUGGGCCUUUGAUGGCUAAUGCUUGGAGAUUCAAGUGAUGGGCUUGUCUCAGGAGGGAUGUGCAGAGCAGAGGAAGGAGCCAUGUGUCCCUCCUCAUCUGAUGAUGACUCCGUUUGUGGGAGGAGAAAGUUGUUUUAGCAGGAGCUUGUGUUUCGUUGGAAAGCCCCAUUAGCGUUUCAUUCCUCUCAGGUACAAAUAAACUACAGAUUGGGAACUUAUUUUAAAAUACCAAAAUGUUGAAUUAUCGGUUUCUCAUUGGUGGAAGUGGGUAAUUAUUUAUUGAAAAAUGUCUUAACCAAUAAAAUUGCCAACCAAAGUCUGACAAAACUAAUUUAGCCUAAUGUCAACUGGCUAAAAUGAACUGGAAAUGUCGUAGGUGAGAAUUUUUUCUGGCAAAGAUUAUGAUCUCUGACCUUCAGGCAUUUUAGGUGCACAAUGGCAAACAUCUCACAGCCUCCUUGUGUAUAUAAACAAACCAGAGCAGGAAAUAUGAUGCACAAAGGAACAGACACCUUUAUACAUUUUAUUUUAUGCCACCCUAUCUAAAUAUUUCACUCACUUACCCAGUGCAAGCUGGGUUAAAGUUAUUUGGCAACAAGUUAAUGAGUUAAGUUGUGAAAAUGUUGCCAGUGUCUAAGAAGUUACUGGCCUCCUUUUUCCUGUCCAUGCACAUCCAGGUAGAGACACAGGCAAAAAUAAAAACACACAACACAUUUGUCCUCCCUCCGUGUCCUUCACACAUCCUCCAGCCUGCUCCUCAUUCCAUACGAAAUGCAAACACGGUGCCCCUUCACCUCUCAUCACUUCUGCUCUACAUACCCCCCUCCCCUCCGUCCCCUCCCUCCACCUCUCCUGCCUUUCCUUCCCCUCCAUCUCCGGGCCGACGGUGUCAGCCGUCACGCUGCGCAGACGUGUCUGCCUGUCUGCUUUGAUAUAGUAGCAUAAGGUUUGCCUGAUCACCAAGGUCAGGGACGAACAAUCUAUUCAAUCCACUCAUUAUUAUUAGGGGUAUAAAUAAAUUUGGGUUGGGAGGCUGCACCUUGAACCUUGAAC